rnacentral:rRNA from 1 species
CCUACGGGGGGCAGCAGUCGAGAAUCAUUCACAAUGGGGGAAACCCUGAUGGUGCGACGCCGCGUGGGGGAAUGAAGGUCUUCGGAUUGUAAACCCCUGUCAUGUGGGAGCAAAUUAAAAAGAUAGUACCACAAGAGGAAGAGACGGCUAACUCUGUGCCAGCAGCCGCGGUAAUACAGAGGUCUCAAGCGUUGUGCGGAAUCACUGGGCGUAAAGCGUGUGUAGGCUGUUUCGUAAGUCGGGUGUGAAAGGCGCGGGCUCAACCCGCGGACGGCACAUGAUACUGUGGGACUAGAGUAAUGGAGGGGGAACCGGAAUUCUCGGUGUAGCAGUGAAAUGCGUAGAUAUCGAGAGGAACACUCGUGGCGAAGGCGGGUUGCUGGACAUUAACUGACGCUGAGGCACGAAGGCCAGGGGAGCGAAAGGGAUUAGAUACCCGAGUAGUC